rnacentral:rRNA from 1 species
UACGAAGGGGGCUAGCGUUGCUCGGAAUCACUGGGCGUAAAGCGUGCGCAGGCGGCUUUGCAAGACAGAUGUGAAAUCCCCGGGCUCAACCUGGGAACUGCAUUUGUGACUGCAUGGCUAGAGUACGGUAGAGGGGGAUGGAAUUCCGCGUGUAGCAGUGAAAUGCGUAGAUAUGCGGAGGAACACCGAUGGCGAAGGCAAUCCCCUGGACCUGUACUGACGCUCAUGCACGAAAGCGUGGGGAGCAAACAGG